GAAACGACAAACGGAAGGACAAGAAGUCCAACAGACACAGUGAGUAAGCAGUGCCUGAAGAAGGCUAAACCAAGCCGAAACGUCGCGCGCGAAAAGCUUACUCGGGGGAAUGAUGCUGGACUGAUGUGGGGGGUGCCAUUAAAUGUAUAUGUGUAUGUAUUUAUUUUGGGGCGGACAUGCCAUUUUUUAUUUGAUGGACAGGGGGCGCCAAAUUUGGUUAGGGGAAUGGUGAAAAGACAAAGAAAGAUGUGGAACUAAAAUAAAUUGAACCUAAAUUAAGGAGGAAUUGAACCUAAAUUAAGGAUAAGAAAGAACAAAAUGAUACCAAAGUCAAAAUGAGGACAGACAAACUUAAAACCUAAAUUUGGAGGAUGGACGGAACAAAUUGUAAUUAAUGGAAGGAGGUUGGCACGCCAAAUUCGGCUAAUUAGAAGACAAAUAAAAUGAAAAGUCUAAAUUUAGAAAACUAAGAAAAACAAAACAAAGACAAAAAGUCACAAACAUAAAGUCAAAUAAGGACAAAGGGUGAUCAAAAGCAAUUUUAUUCACAAAAAAACAAAUGGAAGUCAAAUAAGACAAAAAUUAAAGUCAAAUAAGGACACAGGAUGAUCAAAAGCAACAAAAAACAAACUGAAGUCAAACAAGACAAAAAAUAAAGUCGAAUAAGGACACAGAGUGAUCAAAAGCAAUUUUAUUAACAAAAAAACAAAUGGAAGUCAAACAAGACAAAAAAUAAAGUCAAAUAAGGACACAGGGUGAUAACAAAAGACAAAUUGAAGUCAAAUAAGACAAAAAGGUCAAAACAAACAUAAAACCAAAUACGGAACAAUUGAAGUCAAAUAAGACAACAAAAAGGUCAAAACAAACAUAAAACCAAAUUGAAGUAACUCAAAUCAGAGUACAUUAAAGGGGAAUUCUUCCGCGUGUCUCAGUGGUGGGGCCGGGCGGUUGCGUAGUGUGGAGCUUGGGGGAUGGACAGUGCAUUUCCUUCCUCUCGGGGGCGCUCGCGUCCCCAGAGGGGGAGGCUCGGAUUCCCUUCCCUAACCUCGCCAGUGCCUCCCCCUUGCUCUCUUCUGCCCGAACCCCUCCCUUGGAUCCCGCGCCAUUGGCCUGGAUUCGGUGGGGUCCCUCGCCUGCGUGCUCGUCCCCCGGCCCUGGCCCUGGUCGCCUUGUCCCGCCUUCCGGACCUUACCUAUUGGAGUCGCGCCGCCAGAGAGCCUAAGCCGCGUGAGUGGAGUCGCGCCGCCGGAGAGCCGUAAGCCGCGUGAGUGGAGUCGCGCCGCCAGGGAGCCGUAAGACGCGUGAAUGGAGUCGCGCCGCCAGAGAGCCGUAAGCCGCGUGAGCUGGAGUCGUAGCUGGGAUCCGAGGGAUCCAUCCGCAACAGAGGAGGUGAUGCCGGACGAGCACGUGAACCAACAAAUUGGACCUUAGUCAGGUUGGUGGAAUGAGUGUGGCUGGAGUUGGCGCCAGUGGGGGGGGUCGCGUUGUGGGGGGAUUCCUGCCGGCUCCUCCUUGGAGGACCGGAUGCCUCACCCACUCCGGAUCCUAACCAUAACCUCAGAGGGGUCCAGCCCUAACCUUAAAUUUGGAUCUGCGCAACCCCAGUUACGCCAUUAAAUUCGGGGAAUAACCCGAACCCUAGGGCCUCUCCCAAUGGGGCGAAAAAUUCAAAAACUCAAAAAAGAAAGGAGAAAUCACUCAAAGACUAAAAGAGUAAAGAACAGAAGCAAAAUAACUCAAAAAAGAAAAGAGAAAUCACUCAAACACUAAAAGAGUAAAGAACAGAAGCAAAAUAACUCAAAAAAGAAAAGAGAAAUCACUCAAACACUAAAAGAGUAAAGAACAGAAGCGGAACCAAAAACAAGCGGAACCAAAAAACAAGCCCAACAAGAGGGGACGGAAAAGAGUGGAACGCAGACAGGAAAUGACUAAGCGGAAAACACAAACAAGGAAGUGGAGUGGAGAUGACCAAGCGGGAAACACAAACACAGAAGAGGAACCAAAAGACCAACAGAGGAACCAAAACAAACCACAAUUGAAGAAAAGCAACGGAAAGAGGAACAGCUACGAGACAGAAUAAACAAGAGAAGAUUUUGUUUGAAAGAAAAGCAUCUUGGGGAAACGACAAACGGAAGGACAAGAAGUCCAACAGACACAGUGAGUAAGCAGUGCCUGAAGAAGGCUAAACCAAGCCGAAACGUCGCGCGCGAAAAGCUUACUCGGGGGAAUGAUGCUGGACUGAUGUGGGGGGUGCCAUUAAAUGUAUAUGUGUAUGUAUUUAUUUUGGGGCGGACAUGCCAUUUUUUAUUUGAUGGACAGGGGGCGCCAAAUUUGGUUAGGGGAAUGGUGAAAAGACAAAGAAAGAUGUGGAACUAAAAUAAAUUGAACCUAAAUUAAGGAGGAAUUGAACCUAAAUUAAGGAUAAGAAAGAACAAAAUGAUACCAAAGUCAAAAUGAGGACAGACAAACUUAAAACCUAAAUUUGGAGGAUGGACGGAACAAAUUGUAAUUAAUGGAAGGAGGUUGGCACGCCAAAUUCGGCUAAUUAGAAGACAAAUAAAAUGAAAAGUCUAAAUUUAGAAAACUAAGAAAAACAAAACAAAGACAAAAAGUCACAAACAUAAAGUCAAAUAAGGACAAAGGGUGAUCAAAAGCAAUUUUAUUCACAAAAAAACAAAUGGAAGUCAAAUAAGACAAAAAUUAAAGUCAAAUAAGGACACAGGAUGAUCAAAAGCAACAAAAAACAAACUGAAGUCAAACAAGACAAAAAAUAAAGUCGAAUAAGGACACAGAGUGAUCAAAAGCAAUUUUAUUAACAAAAAAACAAAUGGAAGUCAAACAAGACAAAAAAUAAAGUCAAAUAAGGACACAGGGUGAUAACAAAAGACAAAUUGAAGUCAAAUAAGACAAAAAGGUCAAAACAAACAUAAAACCAAAUACGGAACAAUUGAAGUCAAAUAAGACAACAAAAAGGUCAAAACAAACAUAAAACCAAAUUGAAGUAACUCAAAUCAGAGUACAUUAAAGGGGAAUUCUUCCGCGUGUCUCAGUGGUGGGGCCGGGCGGUUGCGUAGUGUGGAGCUUGGGGGAUGGACAGUGCAUUUCCUUCCUCUCGGGGGCGCUCGCGUCCCCAGAGGGGGAGGCUCGGAUUCCCUUCCCUAACCUCGCCAGUGCCUCCCCCUUGCUCUCUUCUGCCCGAACCCCUCCCUUGGAUCCCGCGCCAUUGGCCUGGAUUCGGUGGGGUCCCUCGCCUGCGUGCUCGUCCCCCGGCCCUGGCCCUGGUCGCCUUGUCCCGCCUUCCGGACCUUACCUAUUGGAGUCGCGCCGCCAGAGAGCCUAAGCCGCGUGAGUGGAGUCGCGCCGCCGGAGAGCCGUAAGCCGCGUGAGUGGAGUCGCGCCGCCAGGGAGCCGUAAGACGCGUGAAUGGAGUCGCGCCGCCAGAGAGCCGUAAGCCGCGUGAGCUGGAGUCGUAGCUGGGAUCCGAGGGAUCCAUCCGCAACAGAGGAGGUGAUGCCGGACGAGCACGUGAACCAACAAAUUGGACCUUAGUCAGGUUGGUGGAAUGAGUGUGGCUGGAGUUGGCGCCAGUGGGGGGGGUCGCGUUGUGGGGGGAUUCCUGCCGGCUCCUCCUUGGAGGACCGGAUGCCUCACCCACUCCGGAUCCUAACCAUAACCUCAGAGGGGUCCAGCCCUAACCUUAAAUUUGGAUCUGCGCAACCCCAGUUACGCCAUUAAAUUCGGGGAAUAACCCGAACCCUAGGGCCUCUCCCAAUGGGGCGAAAAAUUCAAAAACUCAAAAAAGAAAGGAGAAAUCACUCAAAGACUAAAAGAGUAAAGAACAGAAGCAAAAUAACUCAAAAAAGAAAAGAGAAAUCACUCAAACACUAAAAGAGUAAAGAACAGAAGCAAAAUAACUCAAAAAAGAAAAGAGAAAUCACUCAAACACUAAAAGAGUAAAGAACAGAAGCGGAACCAAAAACAAGCGGAACCAAAAAACAAGCCCAACAAGAGGGGACGGAAAAGAGUGGAACGCAGACAGGAAAUGACUAAGCGGAAAACACAAACAAGGAAGUGGAGUGGAGAUGACCAAGCGGGAAACACAAACACAGAAGAGGAACCAAAAGACCAACAGAGGAACCAAAACAAACCACAAUUGAAGAAAAGCAACGGAAAGAGGAACAGCUACGAGACAGAAUAAACAAGAGAAGAUUUUGUUUGAAAGAAAAGCAUCUUGGGGAAACGACAAACGGAAGGACAAGAAGUCCAACAGACACAGUGAGUAAGCAGUGCCUGAAGAAGGCUAAACCAAGCCGAAACGUCGCGCGCGAAAAGCUUACUCGGGGGAAUGAUGCUGGACUGAUGUGGGGGGUGCCAUUAAAUGUAUAUGUGUAUGUAUUUAUUUUGGGGCGGACAUGCCAUUUUUUAUUUGAUGGACAGGGGGCGCCAAAUUUGGUUAGGGGAAUGGUGAAAAGACAAAGAAAGAUGUGGAACUAAAAUAAAUUGAACCUAAAUUAAGGAGGAAUUGAACCUAAAUUAAGGAUAAGAAAGAACAAAAUGAUACCAAAGUCAAAAUGAGGACAGACAAACUUAAAACCUAAAUUUGGAGGAUGGACGGAACAAAUUGUAAUUAAUGGAAGGAGGUUGGCACGCCAAAUUCGGCUAAUUAGAAGACAAAUAAAAUGAAAAGUCUAAAUUUAGAAAACUAAGAAAAACAAAACAAAGACAAAAAGUCACAAACAUAAAGUCAAAUAAGGACAAAGGGUGAUCAAAAGCAAUUUUAUUCACAAAAAAACAAAUGGAAGUCAAAUAAGACAAAAAUUAAAGUCAAAUAAGGACACAGGAUGAUCAAAAGCAACAAAAAACAAACUGAAGUCAAACAAGACAAAAAAUAAAGUCGAAUAAGGACACAGAGUGAUCAAAAGCAAUUUUAUUAACAAAAAAACAAAUGGAAGUCAAACAAGACAAAAAAUAAAGUCAAAUAAGGACACAGGGUGAUAACAAAAGACAAAUUGAAGUCAAAUAAGACAAAAAGGUCAAAACAAACAUAAAACCAAAUACGGAACAAUUGAAGUCAAAUAAGACAACAAAAAGGUCAAAACAAACAUAAAACCAAAUACGGAACAAUUGAAGUCAAAUAAGACAACAAAAAGGUCAAAACAAACAUAAAACCAAAUUGAAGUAA